AUUGAACGCUGGCGGCAGGCCUAACACAUGCAAGUCGAACGAGUGGCGGACGGGUGAGUAAUGUCUGGGAAACUGCCCGAUGGAGGGGGAUAACUACUGGAAACGGUAGCUAAUACCGCAUACCAUCGGAUGUGCCCAGAUGGGAUUAGCUAGUAGGUGGGGUAACGGCUCACCUCGGCGACGAUCCCUAGCUGGUCUGAGAGUAUGACCAGCAACAAGGGAACGGAGACACGGUCCAGAAUCCUAAGGGAGGCAGCAGGGGGGAAUAUUGCACAAUGGGCGCAAGCAUGAUGCAGCCAGGCCGGGUGUAUGAAGAAGGCCUUAGGGUUGUAAAGUACUUUCAGCGAGGAGGCGUGACUCGCAGAAGAAGCACCGGCUAACUCCGUGCCAGCAGCCGCGGUAAUUC
rnacentral:rRNA from 1 species